rnacentral:rRNA from 1 species
UACGUAGGGACCGAGCGUUGUCCGGAUUCAUUGGGCGUAAAGAGCGUGUAGGCGGCCAGACAGGUCCGUUGUGAAAACUCGAGGCUCAACCUCGAGAUGUCGAUGGAAACCGUCUGGCUAGAGUCCGGAAGAGGAGUGUGGAAUUCCUGGUGUAGCGGUGAAAUGCGCAGAUAUCAGGAAGAACACCUAUGGCGAAGGCAGCACUCUGGGACGGUACUGACGCUGAGACGCGAAAGCGUGGGGAGCGAACAGG